AAGAGGAAGAGCAAGAGAAGAGAGCUUUAGAGAGUCCUAAAGAGGGUUGUGACUGUGAAAAGGAAAACUGCAAGAAAGAAGCAGAGGAAGAAGAGAAGAUUAAGUGAUAAAGAAAUGAAGGUUUUAGCUCUUUCUUUCUUUUAUUUAUUUAUUUUUCUUCUCUUUGCAUUAAAAUCCUUUUGUGCUUCAGAGAGAUAAACAUGAAAAAAAAAAGAGCAGAUUGGUUCUUGGGAGUAUUAAAUCUUGAAAAAAAUUUUGUUGGCUGAGGGGGGAUGGUGACUAGUGGAGAAUGGAAACUGGAAGUGAAGUGGAAACUGGAAGUGAAGUGAAAACUGUAAUGGAUAAUUUGAGGUCUCCA
rnacentral:misc_RNA from 1 species